rnacentral:rRNA from 1 species
GACGCUAAUACCGCAUACGUCCUACGGGAGAAAGCACGGGGACCUUCGGGCCUUGCGCUAUCAGAUGAGCCUAGGUCGGAUUAGCUAGUUGGUGAGGUAAUGGCUCACCAAGGCUACGAUCCGUAACUGGUCUGAGAGGAUGAUCAGUCACACUGGAACUGAGACACGGUCCAGACUCCUACGGGAGGCAGCAGUGGGGAAUAUUGGACAAUGGGCGAAAGCCUGAUCCAGCCAUGCCGCGUGUGUGAAGAAGGUCUUCGGAUUGUAAAGCACUUUAAGUUGGGAGGAAGGGCAUUAACCUAAUACGUUAGUGUUUUGACGUUACCGACAGAAUAAGCACCGGCUAACUCUGUGCCAGCAGCCGCGGUAAUACAGAGGGUGCAAGCGUUAAUCGGAAUUACUGGGCGUAAAGCGCGCGUAGGUGGUUUGUUAAGCGAGAUGUGAAAGCCCCGGGCUCAACCUGGGAACUGCAUUUCGAACUGGCAAACUAGAGUGUGAUAGAGGGUGGUAGAAUUUCAGGUGUAGCGGUGAAAUGCGUAGAGAUCUGANAGNGANAUACCGANUGGNCGAAGGCAGCCACCUGGGUCAACACUGACGCUCAUGUACGAAAGCGUGGGGAGCAAACGGGAUUAGAUACCCCGGUAGUCCNACGCCGUAAACGAUGUCUACUAGAAGCUCGGAGCCUCGGUUCUNGUUUUUNCAAAGCUAACGCAUUAAGUAGACCGCCNUGGGGNAGUACGGNCCGCAAGGNUUAAAACUNCAAAUGAANUUNGACGGGGGCCCNGCNACAAGCGGUGGNANGCANUGUGGUUUNAAUUCGANUGNCAACNGCNGAAGAACCUUACCUNACACNUUGACANNUNACAGANGAANCUUNACCNAGANGANUGGUUUGGNUGNCCNUUCNGGGNAANCUCUGANUNACNAGGUNGCNUNGNCAUGGCNUGUCGUCAGCUCGUGUCGUGAGAUGUUGGGUUAAGUCCCGUAACGAGCGCAACCCUUGUCCUUAGUUACCAGCACGUAAUGGUGGGCACUCUAAGGAGACUGCCGGUGACAAACCGGAGGAAGGUGGGGAUGACGUCAAGUCAUCAUGGCCCUUACGGCCUGGGCUACACACGUGCUACAAUGGUCGGUACAAAGGGUUGCCAAAGCCGCGAGGUGGAGCUAAUCCCAUAAAACCGAUCGUAGUCCGGAUCGCAGUCUGCAACUCGACUGCGUGAAAGUCGGAAUCGCUAGUAAUCGUGAAUCAGAUUGUUCACGGUGAAAUACGUUCCCGGGCCUUUGUA